UUCCGGCGUCACAGACGGUCUUUACAAGCGACUCGUGGGCGUCAAUACUGGGCUGAGUUUGUGGCGCGCUUAGUGAUGGGAUGGCCCUGUGCAGGACGCCGACACGAAAAGAUGAAGAGUUCAAUCCGUGCUGUCUGAACUCACAGUGUAGCAGGCGAGAUAGACGGGAAGAUCGGUAGGGUGGGAGAUGCCGGAAAGGCUUCCCGUGAGACUGGAUAAGAAAUCAAAAAUCUGGUGAAAUUGCCGGCAAGAGGGAGUUAAGGACAUUCCAGGCAGAGGCAAGAUGAAGCCAGAUACUCCUCUAUGAAGUUAAAUGACUGGUUCAGUGUUAACACUGCUAGUGAGCGACAGAGAUGGAAUUUGAACGCACACCUGUCUGACUCCACCUCGUGUUCCUUCCACAUGGCCAGCAAGCUCUGCUGUCCCACCUCGCACUUCUGGGAGGUGGCUACUCCCUCUUUCCACCCCCUUUUCUGGAUCUUGACAAGGGAUUCUACCCUGCCCCAGCUGUCAAAGCCUGCAGCAGCUGCCAAAAAACCUCAACACAGGCAUACUUUGGACCUACAUCAUGUGUUGAUGUCACAGAUGCUGUACCAGGCAUUUGACUCCUUGAUCUAAAGCCAGGAUUCCUAGCCAACAUGGCGAAACCCUGUCUCUACUAAAAAUAACAAAAAUUAGCUGGGCAUGGUGAUAGGCACCUGUAAUCCCAGCUACUUGGGAGGCUGAGGCAGGAGAAUUACUUGAACCCAGGAAGCGAAGGCUGCAGUGAGCAGAGAUUGUGCCUCUGCACUACAGCCUGGGCUAUGGAGUAAGACUCUGUCUCAAAAAAAAAAAAAAAAAAAAAAUAGUGAGGGGGAUGCAUGCCCACACAAAGGAAUCCUGAUAGAGGAACAAUGGCUUGGUCCGUUUCCCCUCCUGUGUAGCACUGUGAUAAAGGAAAGCCUUUCAGAUUCCUAAGAUGAGGACACAGCAUCCUGGGCCACUGUCACUAAUACAAAUUUGCCUCUGGAGGGACUCUACGGAAGAUAAUUCCCCUGAAAUUUGGAGAGUUGAAUUAAGCUAGGACUGAUUCUGGCUGGAAUUUGUGGUGGCUACGUACCCUAGAGGGCCUCAAGGAAACCCACGGUUCAAGACAGCCCUGACAGAUUCUGGAGUCUAGAACAGAAAUGGAUUUGAACAUGGGCAAGGCCAACCACCCAGUUCACGGCCUGUGUACAGCAAAGAUUACGUUACAGCCUGAGAGCUAAGCCUGGAAGCUCUUUCAUCCAUCCGUUUGUCCAUCUAUCCAUCCAUCUGCUCAUCCAUCCCUCCAUCUGCUCAACAAACGUUAGAGAAUCAAUCCUUGUGUCAGAUACUGGGGCUGCCCUCAAGGAGCUUUUAUAGAGUUCAGGGUACAGCCAGGUGGGGGAGACAGAUCACUAUAAAAACCUACCACUAUAAUCCAAAGGACAAGAGCAAAAAUAGUAAAGAGGAGAGAAGACCCAAAUUUGCCUGGUGGGUCAGAGAGGGCUUUCUAGAAGAGGUAAAAAAUCUUCGGGGCUAUCACUUCACCUUGCCUGGUGGAUAAAGGGAGGACUUUCCAGAUACAGUGGACAGAAUGUGCAGAGGCAGGAGCCAUGAGUGGCAGAGGCAGGGGAGGGACUGCAGAGACAGGUUGGAGCCAAAGCACGUGGCACUGGAGCCAUAGCCAAAGGAACAAACUGUGAGACCUGGGACUUGAAUUUGGAGGUGGUGAAAAGUGACAAGGUCUUCACAGAAGAGUGAUUUUUUCAACUUAGGGAAGGCUGACCCCAGACCAAUGCUGCCAAAGUGUGGUCUGUGGGCUGUUAGCAGUUCGUGACGAUGUAAGUACAGGAAUUGAGAUUAAGCAUUUAGAACACCUACAGCACUUUGAUAGUCAUUUUACUUUUUAAAUUUUGAGCUGGCAUUUUAUAUGCCUGGUUUUUUUUUGUUUUUGUUUUUUUAUUUUUUUUGAGACAGUCUCGCUCUGUCGCCCAGGCUGGAGUGCAGUGGCGCGAUCUCUGCUCACUGCAAGCUCCGCCUCCCGGGUUCACGCCAUUCUCCUGCCUCAUCCUCCCAAGUAGCUGGGACUGCAGGCGCCUGCCGCCUCGCCCAGCUAAUUUUUUGUAUUUUUAAUAGAGACGGGGUUUCACCAUGUUAGCCAGGAUGGUCUCAAUCUCCUGAUCUCGUGAUCUGCCCGCCUUGGCCUCCCAAAAUGCUGGGAUUACAGGUGUGAGCCACCACGCCCAGCCUUAUUCUCUUUUUCUAAUAGUUGCACUUUAUCAUAUUUUACAAAUGUGUGAGUCUGCUAUGGAUUAGAAAUUAAUAAGAGAUUUUGCCACAGAUAGUUUGAGAAGCCCAGCACUGCCACUCAACAAAUGCUGGUGCAUUCAGAUGGUGAAAUAUUCUGCAGCUAUUAAAGGAGUUAAAACUGCCUCCACUUACCUGGAGGCCCAUCUGUGACACCUUUUUAGGUUAAAAGGAAAAGAAAAACUUGCUUAGGACUGAAUAUGAGCGGUUGCAAUUUGUAACAAUGAUGUAUAUAUACAUAUACAUUUUCAUGUAUUUGUAUGAACAUAAAAGUAUUGAAGGAUAUUCAUCAAACUGCUAAAAGGGUUGCUUCAGAGUAACGGACUCGGAGAAGGCAGAUUAAUUUUCUCUUAAUGGAACUCUGUAUUGUAUCACUUGUAAAAAUAAGCAUGUGUUAUCUUUAUGAUAAAAAAGUAAAAACCUAAAAAAG